rnacentral:lncRNA from 1 species
UAACAUUGAAGAAGUGGUAAUCAGUUACAGGCAAUGAGCCUAGGACUCCCUAGAUGUAUAUAGUCUUUCUUCUAUGUAUUACACUUUAUAUUUGCUUGUUAUUUUGGUUUGACUUGGUUUGGCAUGUUGUUGUUUUUCGUUUCUUCUGAUCAUGCUGAUUCUAUAUUCCACAUGUCACUUUGUCACGUCAAAGAAUCAUAGUAUUUUAGAGCUGGAAGGGACCACGUGGAACUCCUGCAAUGUAGGAAUCCUUUGCCCAACAUGAGGCUCAAACCCCUGACCCUGAGAUAAAGAGUCUCAUGCUCUACCUGACUGAGCUAUCCUAUUAUUUCAGGUAAUUUAUCACUGACCUUUUCUCCCUCUUCUCAGUCUUUCCAUACUUUCCAAUCCAGCUGUAUUAUUAUUUUUUGUAUCUUCUCUUCGAGUUCAUUUCUUUCUAUUUCUUUCUGUACUGCAUAAUGCUCAUAUCCAUUCAAUUAUAUGGGCCACAUUUUAAAUGACAUUUAUUUUUUUAUAUUGAUUGAUUUUAAAAUGUUCUUUAAUAGUAAUUUCAGCUGUAUCUCUGAUUUUGCUGUUCAAAGAGAUCCAUUGCUAUUGGAGUGUGACUUCAGAGGUGGAUUUAGGUUAGUACUACUGGAUCCACCACAAUGGGCACCAAGCUUAGGGGGCAAUGGAAUGCAUCACAACUAGGAAUAGUGUAUUGGUGACUGGCUGAUAGAUUUUACAGAAAGUUGGGUUCAAUGUGGCUUUCUUGAGCAGCACAUUCACAGUUACCACAGUCUGUCCCACUGUCAAACAUCUCUUACCAUCAGAAAGUUCUUUGUAAUGCUUAGUUGCAAUCUCCUUUCUUUUAACUUGAAGCCAUUGAUUUUUGUUGUACCUUCCAGAGUAGGAGAAAACAAGCUAGUUCCAUCUUCUGUGUGACAGCUCUUUAGAUAUUGAAGGAUGGCUAUCAUAUCUCCUCUCAGUCUCCUCUUAUCCAGAGCUUUCAACCAUCCUGCAUUUUUCAGCAAUUGGCUUGGAGAAGCCUUACUGCCUCCAACCUUGGAGGCUGUGUAUAGACAUGACGAGUGGCCAUUUUGAUCACCUAAUUCUCCAUGAAGUUGUUUAAUCCACUUUUAGAGCCAUUCAAGUUACUGGCUAUAACUGCCUUCUGUUGCUUGAAACCAUGCAGGGUGUGGGCUGGGCUGGGGCCUGCUCUUGUGCUUGAGUCCCACUUGUGAGUUUCCUUCAGGCAUCUGGUAGGCCACUGUGGGAACAGGAUGCUGGACUAGAAGGGCCAUUGGCCUGGCCCAGCAGGCUAAUUUUAUAUUAUCUUAUGAAUAUGGGCAGUUCUCUGAAUUAACUGUUGUGUAAAGAAGUCAAGGACACUUCAAGGAAUAAGAAGAAUGGUCCUCUUGUGGAUUACAAAUUGCUUAAGUUACAGCGAGCAAAUAGUAGGAAUAAACUGAGAGUUCACCAAAUGGACAGAUGUAAAAAAAUGGUGUCCCCCAAGGAUGAGUAUUGGGAUCUGUGCUUUUUAACAUAAAUUAUCCAGCUCUAGAUUAACGAUCUAGAACUUUGGAACAUACAACCUUAGGAGGCAGCAAUGAACACAAAUUUGGGUGCCUUUAAAAGAGUAAUCCAGAAACUCCAGUAAAACAUAAAUUAUGGUCAGUAUCCUAAAACUAUCCAGCUGUCAUAACAAUCAGAUAGGCUUGUCUAUUAAGUUAGAUUAAAAAUAAGAAUACUUUAUUCUAUUGUUCAGCCACAAGUAAUGUUUUGCACAAUGCAAUACACUGAGGAGACAUUUUUGAAAACUUUGAUUAUCACAAAUUAUUAGUUGUCCUCAUGCAUAUUGCCAAAUCCCAUGUGGAUUUUCUCUGAUCACAAUCACAAUAAUUAACAAACUCUGAAAGUAGAUAUUGAAUAUUCAGUGCUGGGAUGUUGGGUGGCAUAGAGGCAGGGUGACAGCUGUCAGACUGAUCUGUGUGAGAUUGCCUUCCUCAGAAAGGGUCGAGAGCCACUGAACAGGCUGGACGUUUAUUUUGGAUUGAUGCUGGGCAUUCUGCAUGAAUAUGUGGCUCAAGAUGAUGGGGUUGUUUCUUUCGCCUCUGCUUCUCUUGUUUCCGCGACUCCCUCAGACUGACUGUGAGUCACAUGCUGUUAUGCAUACCAUGGUUGAUUCCCCCCACUUCCCACAUCAAUAUUAUCAGUCAGGGGACCUAACGAUUGGAUUUAUUGUUACUCAGUAUGGCUACUUAUCUGAUGAACUAUCAUUCAGGGUACAUCCCACAAACGCGUUUCUGGAAGGACUAAAACUUAUGUAAGGAGUAUGUUUUCUCUGCGUACUUCAGGCCAGGUCAUAACUAUUACUCCUUGAAAAAAGUGGUUUAAAAAUGUCCUUAAUGAAUUCUGGGUAUGUUAUACACAUAUAUCAAGAAGUAAGGCUUCGCACCUGCUUGAUCUACUCAACAAACCCCGGCUAUCUCCUCCAUGUUAACACACAGGGUUUCCCCUUCUCAUUUCCCCUUUCCAGUUGCAUUUCUGAAGCCACUUCUAUCUUCUGUAAUGUAGCCCUACUUUGCACUGAUUCUCACCUUCGUCUUCAAAACCAGGUUUGUGUGUGAGGGGAGGAGAAGCUGCUUUUCUCAGCUAAAGAAGUUUGAGUAAAUGGAGGUGAAGUGAGGCUGAGAAAAAAAGUGGUAGUUUUAAAACAAAAUGUGGGGAGGGGGGACACCGAGGGAUUUUUAAUAAAUAAAUAAAUCAAACCAACCACUUUUAGCCAGGAGAAAUAGCAGAUAUGAGUAGAACACAGAAGCUAAGACUGAAAAGCUAACGCAACAGAACUAUCCCAAGCUGCCUUUUCACUGCCCUCAUAGUUUGUUUUAAACUGCCACUCCCCCCCCCAUGUUGAACCCUGUUCAGUCUACUGAAUCCUCUGCUUUCUUUUAAAAUCACCAGAUAGUUAUUCUUUGUUCCCUUCUCAUUGCACUCAGACUUCUCUGUCUUUCAUUCCUCAGCAGCUUUGUGUGUGAGAGAUAACUAAUGUGGACCUCCCAUAUAUUCCAUAGUACUCAAACCUAUGUCUUUGGCAAUUUUCCUCGCAGUUCGUCCCAACCCUGCUUUAUUGAAACUUCUACCAGUGUUUGUUUGUUUUUGUUUUUUUUAAAGAUAUUUAUUAAAAUUUCAAAAAUACGAAAAGAAGUUACAAUAGUAAUAAUAAGAAAAAGAAAAAAAGGAAAAAGGAAUAAAAAAGAAAGAAGAAAAUCCAAAAUAUAAAAAAGUAAAAACAAUUAAAAACAAGUCAAUCUUUCCAUAUCUUGUCUUUCCUUCACUUGUUUCCCUGACCUCCUCACACCUCCCCUUUUUUGUAUUCCAGUUCAGUAAGUUAAUUCAGCAAAUCCUUUCCCUCUUUGUUUUUAUCUUAGACCUUUGUCUUAAUAUAUAAUAACUGUAUAUUCUCAUCUGUUAACAGUCCAUUUUUACAUACUCCUUAUAACAUUGCUGCUAAAAACCCCUUAGCUGCAUUCCAACAUAAUUCUAACAUUCAUUAAUUUUACAGUAUUUCUGUAGAUAGUCUUUAAAUUUCUUCCAGUCUUCUUCCACCGACUCUUCUCCCUGGUCUCGGAUUCUGCCAGUCAUUUCCGCCAGUUCCAUAUAGUCCAUCACCUUCAUCUGCCAUUCUUCCAGGGUGGGUAGAUCUUGUGUCUUCCAAUACUUUGCAAUAAGAAUUCUUGCUGCCGUUGUGGCAUACAUAAAGAAAAUUCUAUCCUUCUUUGGCACCAAUUGGCCGACAAUGCCCAGGAGAAAGGCCUCUGGUUUCUUCAGGAAGGUAUAUUUAAAUACCUUUUUCAUUUCAUUAUAGAUCAUCUCCCAGAAAGCCUUAAUCCUUGGGCACGUCCACCAAAGGUGAAAGAAUGUACCUUCAGUUUCUUUGCAUUUCCAACAUUUAUUAUUGGGCAAAUGAUAAAUUUUUGCAAGCUUGACUGGUGUCAUGUACCACCUGUAUAUCAUUUUCAUAAUAUUCUCUUUUAAGGCAUUACAUGCCGUAAAUUUCAUACCUGUAGUCCAUAACUGUUCCCAGUCAGCCAUCAUAAUGUUAUGUCCAACAUCUUGUGCCCAUUUAAUCAUAACAGAUUUCACUGUUUCAUCUUGAGUAUUCCAUUUCAACAGCAAGUUAUACAUUCUUGACAAAUUCUUAACCUUAGGAUCUAACAGUUCUGUUUCCAGUUUUGAUUUUUCCACCUGGAAGCCAAUUUUCUUGUCUAAAUUGUAUGCCUCCAUUAUUUGAUAAUAGUGAAGCCAAUCUCGCACUUUAUUUUUUAAUUUUUCAAAGCUCUGCAAUUUCAAUUUAUCUCCCUCUUGUUCCAAAAUUUCCCAAUAUUUCGGCCAUUUGGCCUCCAUAUUGAGCUUUUUCUGAGCGUUCGCUUCCAUCGGUGACAGCCACCUUGGAGUUUUAUUUUCAAGUAGAUCCUUAUAUCUUAUCCAGACAUUAAACAAUGCUUUCCUGACAAUAUGGUUUUAAAUGCUUUAUGUGUUUUAACCUUAUCAUACCACAAAUAUGCAUGCCACCCAAAUACAUUGUUAAAACCUUCUAAAUCCAAAAUGUCUGUGUUUUCAAGAAGCAGCCAUUCUCUCAGCCAACAGAAUGUGGCUGAUUCGUAAUAAAGUUUAAGGUCUGGCAGGGCAAAUCCACCUCUUUCUUUUGCAUCCGUUAGUAUUUUGAAUUUUAUUCUGGGCUUCUUGCCCUGCCAGACAAAUCUGGAAAUAUCUCUCUGCCACUUCUUGAAACAGUCCAUUUUGUCCAAAAUUUGCAGUGUUUGAAACAAAAACAACAUUCUUGGCAAUACAUUCAUCUUUAUCACAGCGCUACGGCCUAGCAGUGAAAUCUUCAAAUUUGACCAUAUUUCUAAGUCUUUUUUCACUUCAUUUUUAAAAAAAAGAUAUUUAUUAAGAUUUUCAAAAUAUUACAAAAAAGAAAAAAAAGAAAAAGAAAAAUACAAAAUAAAAAUAGUUAAAAACAAUUCAGUCUUUCAAUCACUUAUCUUUCAUUUGCUUAUUUCCCGGACCUCCUCACGCCUCCCUUUUCUGUAUUCCAAUUCAGUUUGUUAGUUCAGCAAAUCCCUCCCUCUUUGUUUAUCCUAGUCUUCAAUCUUAAAGUAUUGUAACAUUAGAUUUUUACCUAUUAAUAGUCCAUUUUUUCAUAUUCCCUUAUAACAUUGCAGCUAGAAACCACUUAGUUUCUAUCCAACAUCAUUCUAACAUUCAUUAAUUUUACAAUAUUUCUGUAAAUAGUCUUUAAACUUUUUCCAAUCUUUUUCCACCGACUCUUCUCCCUGGUCUCGGAUUCUGCCAGUCAUUUCUGCCAGUUCCAUAUAGUCCAUCACCUUCAUCUGCCAUUCUUCCAAGGUGGGUAGAUCUUGUGUCUUCCAAUACUUUGCAAUAAGUAUUCUUGCUGCUGUUGUGGCAUACAUAAAGAAAGUCCUAUCCUUCUUUGGCACCAAUUGGCCGACUAUGCCCAACAGGAAGGCCUCUGGUUUCUUUAGAAAGGUAUAUUUAAAUACCUUUUUCAUUUCAUUAUAGAUCAUCUCCCAGAAAGCCUUAAUCUUUGGGCACGUCCACCAAAGGUGAAAGAAUGUACCUUUCUUUUCCUUACAUUUCCAACAUUUAUUAUCGGGCAAAUGAUCGAUUUUUGCAAGCUUGACUGGUGUCAUGUACCACCUGUAUAUCAUUUUCAUAAUAUUCUCUCUUAGGGCAUUACAUGCCGUAAAUUUCAUACCUGUAGUCCACAACUGUUCCCAGUCAGCAAACAUAAUGUUAUGUCCAACAUCUUGUGCCCAUUUAAUCAUAGCGUCUUUUUUCACUUCAGUCCAACAUUUUCAUAGUUAUCCUUAAAUAAAUUCACAUUUUUAGCAGUCAUGUUAACCCCCCAAAUAUUUCACUUUCUUAACCAGUGUUAAUCCUGUCUCCUUCUGAAACCUCUCUCUCUCAAUCUCUGUUAAAUUUUUCUCUAAAACCUUAGUUUUUAACUUAUUCAACUUACCGUAUUUUUCGCUCCAUAGGACGCACUUUUCCCCCUCCAAAAAUGAAGGGGAAAUGUGUGUGCGUCCUAUGGAGCGAAUGCAGGCUUUCGCUGAAGCCUGGAGAGCGAGAGGCAUCGGUGCGCACCGACCCCUCUCGCUCUCCAGGCUUCAGGAAGCUAUCCGCAAGCCUUGCAAGCCCGGUGGGAGUUCCCGCGGGCUCACAAGGCUGCAGGCAGCAGCCUGCAGCCCCGGCGAGUGUCCGCAAGCCUUGCGCGCCCGGCAGGAGGUCCCGCCGGCGCGCGAGGCUUGGGGCAGCAGCCUGUCGCCCGAGCACGGGGAGCCCUCCGGAGGGCUCCCGUGCUUCGGGCGAGUGUCCGCAAGCCUUGCGCGCCCGGCAGGAGGUCCCGCCCGGCGCGCAAGGCUUGGGGCGGCAGCCUGUCGCCCGAGCACGGGGAGCCCUCCGGAGGGCUCCCGUGCUUCGGCGAGUGUCUGCAAGCCUUGCGCGCCCGGCAGGAGGUCCCGCCCGGCGCGCAAGGCUUGGGGCUGCAGCUUGUCGCCCGAGCACGGGAGCCCUCCGGAGGGCUCCCGUGCUUCGGGCGAGUGUCCGCAAGCCUUGCGCGCCCGGCAGGAGGUCCCGCCCGGCGCGCAAGGCUUGGGGCUGCAGCUUGUCGCCCGAAGCACGGGGAGCCCUCCGGAGGGCUCCCGUGCUUCGGCGAGUGUCCGCAAGCCUUGCGCGCCCGGCAGGAGGUCCCGCCCGGCGCGCAAGGCUUGGGGCUGCAGCCUGUCGCCCGAAGCACGGGAGCCCUCCGGAGGGCUCCCGUGCUCGGGCGAGUGUCCGCAAGCCUUGCGCGCCCGGCAGGAGGUCCCGCCCGGCGCGCAAGGCUGGGGCUGCAGCUUGUCGCCCGAAGCACGGGGAGCCCUCCGGAGGGCUCCCGUGCUCGGGCGAGUGUCCGCAAGCCUUGCGCGCCCGGCAGGAGGUCCCGCCCGGCGCGCAGGGCUUGGGGCUGCAGCCUGUCGCCCGAAGCACGGGGAGCCCUCCGGAGGGCUCCCGUGCUUCGGGCAGUGUCCGCAAGCCUUGCGCGCCCGGCAGGAGGUCCCGCCCGGCGCGCAAGGCUUGGGGCUGCAGCUUGUCGCCCGAAGCACGGGAGCCCUCCGGAGGGCUCCCGUGCUUCGGGCAGUGUCCGCAGCCUUGCGCGCCCGGCAGGAGGUCCCGCCCGGCGCGCAAGGCUUGGGGCUGCAGCUUGUCGCCCGAAGCACGGGAGCCCUCCGGAGGGCUCCCGUGCUUCGGGCGAGUGUCCGCAAGCCUUGCGCGCCCGGCAGGAGGUCCCGCCCGGCGCGCAAGGCUUGGGGCUGCAGCUUGUCGCCCGAAGCACGGGGAGCCCUCCGGUGGGCUCCCGGUGCUUCGGGCGAGUGUCUGCAAGCCUUGCGCGCCCGGCAGGAGGUUCCGCCCGGCGCGCAAGGCUUGGGGCUGCAGCUUGUCGCCCGAAGCACCGGGAGCCCUCCGGUGCGCUCCCCGUGCUUCGGGCGAGUGUCUGCAAGCCUUGCGCGCCCGGCAGGACGUCCCGCCCGGCGCGCACGGCGUGGGGCUGCCGCUUGUCGCCCGAAGCACGGGAGCCCUCCGGAGGGCUCCCGUGCUCGGGCGAGUGUCUGCAAGCCUCGCGCGCCCUGUGGGAGAUCCCGCCGGCGCGCGAGGCUUGGGAGGCAGCCUGCCGCCCGAGCACGCGAGGCUUGGGGCGGCAGCCGCGGGGGGAUAAUUUUUUUAUUCAUUUCCCCCCCAAAAAACGAGGUGCGUCCUAUGGACCGGUGCCUCCUAUAGAACGAAAAAUACGGUAAAUCCUGCAACCUGACCAAAUUCUUGAAUCAGUUCUAUUACUCUUUUGGUACUAGAUUCUGGCUCCUGUAACGUCAAUACUAAGUCAUCUGCAAAUGCUUUCAAUUUAUACUGUUUAGCUCCGACUUGUAUACCCUUAACCAAUUGGUCCCUUCUAAUCAUAUUUAAAAGAACCUCCAGGACCAAUAUAAAAAGCAAUGGGGAAAUUGGGCAACCUUGUCGUGUCCCUUUCUCUAUCUUAAAUUCCUCCGUCACCACAUUGUUAACAAUUAGUUUGGCCUUUUGUUCAGAAUAUAUUGCACUUAUACCAUUUCCAAAACCUUGACCAACCCCCAUCCCCUGUAGGUUCUUCUUCAUAAAACUCCAGGAAAUGUUGUCAAAAGCUUUCUCCGCGUCCACAAAUAUCAAAACUGCCUUGGUAUUAAUGUUCACUUGUAAUUUCUCCAAAAUGUUAAUUAUGUUUCUCGUAUUAUCAGACAAGUGUCUGCCAGGGAGAAAGCCUGCUUGGUCUUUAUGUAUCUCUUCCACUAAUACUUUUUUUUAAUCUUUUAGCCAAAAUAUCUGCAAAAAUUUUAUAAUCCACAUUAAGCAGAGAUAUGGGGCGGUAAUUCUUAAGCUGUGUCUUCUCAGACUCAAUUUUCAGUAUAAGUGUGAUGUACGCCUCCUUCCAUGACUCUGGUGCUUUUUCCCCUUCCAAAAUUUCAUUACAGACUUCCUUUAGUGGUUGUAUUAUCCAACUUUUCAGAGAUCUAUAGUAUCUUGAAGUUAAGCCAUCCGGUCCUGGAGAUUUACCCAAUUGCAUAUUCUGGAUGGCACCUUCUACCUCCUGUUCAGUUAUUUUGUAAUUCAACAUUAGCUUGUUUUCUUGAGAGAUUUUUUGUAGUCCAUUUAUUUUCAAAAAUCGAUCUAUGUCAAUUUCUUUCUGUGGCCCUUGUGUAUAUAGUUGUUUAAAAUACCUCUGGAAACAAUUUCUAAUCUCCACUGGGUUCUGUAUAUUCUUUCCUUCCACUUCCAAAUUUGUAACAGUAUUAAGUUUUUGUCUUUUUUCAUUUGCCAGGCCAGCAAUUUCCCACAUUUAUUAGCCGACUCAAAAGUCUUUUGUCUCAUCUGUUUAAUUUUCCAUUCUAUUUCCUGAUUCAUCAUUUUCAUGUAUUGUACUUGAUAUAACUUUAUUUCUCUCAAAAUCUCUUGCGACUUUGGUUUUGCUCUCAAUUUCUUCUCACCUUCCUUUAUUUUCUCCAGAAUUUUAUCUUUCUUCUCAUUUUGGGUUCUCUUCUUUAUUGCAUUCUGUUGUAUCAGGAACCCUCUCAUGACCGCUUUACUUGCGUCCCAGAUUACUCUUUUUUCAACAGUAGUAUUCAUAUUAAUCUCAAAAUAAUCUCUCAAGGUUUUUUGGGCCUUCUUAAUCACUUCUUCAUCCCUAAACAAGGUGUCAUUCAUCCUCCAUCUGAAAGAGCCAAUUGGUGUUAGUUUCAUCUCCAUCUUUACAGCAUUAUGGUCGGAGCAGGUUUUAGGGCAAAUUUCCACUUUUCUUGUCUUUGGAGCCAGUCCUCUAGUUACCCAAAUUUGGUCAAUUCUUGUCCAUGUCAUUUUGGCUUCAGAAAAGAAAGUUCCCUCUCUGCCCAAGGGGUUCUUUGUUCUCCAGAUAUCAACUAAAUCCAAAUUGUCAGUCAUCUCAAAGAAGGUUUUCGGUAGCCUACCGUCCUUAGUGACUACCUGUCUCUGUGCCUUGUCCAUAUUUGUGGAUACCACUCCAUUCAUGUCCCCCAUCAUGAUCACAUUGUAAUCCAAAUAGCUCAUCAGAGUCUCAUGCAACUUUUUUAAAAAAAACUUAUUUCCCCUCAUUUGGUGCAUAAACUCCUACUAUCAAGAAUUUCUCUCCUUGUAGUUGAAUUUCAAUUGCCACGAAUCUUCCUUGGUCAUCUUUAAAUAUAAAUUUCGGUGAUAGGUUUUCCUUUGCGUAGAUCACUACUCCCCCUUUUUUGACUUUGUCCGAUGAAAUAAACUCUUGACCCAGUCUUUUGUUAAUCAAUACUUUUCUGUGUAGCCUUACCACAUGUGUUUCCUGUAAACAAAUCAAGUCCAAUUGUUCCUUUUUUAAUAAAUGACUCUUUUCCUUUUUUGAGGGGAGUUCAAACCAUUAGUAUUCCAGCUUAAAAGUUGCAAAGCCAUGAUGUAAUUACUCUGCUUUUCCUCCAACUGCACCAAGUGUUUGUUCUUGUUCUGUCAGUGGUGUUAUUGUCACUUUCUCUGAGCAGUCCAAUCCAAAAGGUAAUGUAGCUAUAUCUAGUAUUCCUCUUUUUAAUAGUCCUUUGUCCGAUGCUUUUUGUUUUGGUCUUCUGUCUGUCGGUUCUCUGUCCAAUGCACUUAGCUCUUCUCCAGAUUCUUUCUGCAAGUCUUCUCCGUGGUCUUUCAAAAAUCUUUCUUUGUCGUCCACUGAUCUUAUUUUUAUCUUUCUUCCUUUAAGGCUAAAAGAUAGACCUUGGGGGAAUUCCCACCUAAAAAUGAUUCUGUUACUUCUCAACAGGGCAACCAAGUCACCGUAGUUGGCCCUAAGAUCCAAAAGGUAUUUCGGAAUAUCUUUAAAAAUCUCCACUCUUGACUGAUGUAUUUCCAAGGUCUUCUGAAAGUGCAGGCUCAAAAUUUUGUCUCUCUCCUCUUUUGUUCGGAGGGUAAUCAAGCAGUCUCUCACCCUGCUCUUCUUCCCCCCUCUUCCAAGCCUAAAAGCACUCACUAUCUUAAAUUCUUCCUUCUCCAAAUCUAAAUCCCAAAAGUCUGCAAAUUCCUGCAUAAGAAAGUCAGUCAGACUGUCCUUCUCUAUUUCAGGCACAGCCCUGAUCCUCAAGUUCGUUUGUUUCUCCUUCAAUUCAAUCAUAGAAAGCGUCGACCUGUGAUCCUCAAGUUGCCUGUGUAUGACUGGUAUCUUCUCCUCUACAGCAACUGCUUUUUCCUUGGCUUCUUCAGCGAUCUGUCGGGUCGAAGUAGAUUCCUGUAACAAUUUCUCUAUUGUUUCUGUAUUAGUGUUCACCUUUUGUCCCAGAUUGUUAAUGCUGAGGAUGUUUUGAUCCAUUUUAGUUGAUGCUUCAGCCACGUGUUUACUUAAUUUUUCCAGCGAUUCAUUUAUUUUGCCUAGUGCAAGUGCUAAAACAUCCUCAGAUUCCAUAGCCUUUGACUUAGAUUGUAUAGUUGCAGCCGCUGAUGGUGCAGAAGGGCCAGAUGUUGAUGCUCUUCGCUGCAGCCAGGAUUUCCCAGAUCUCGUUGUUUUGUCUUGGAACAAAUCUACUUUUUCUUUUCCAUCUGCCAUAACACUUUAGCUGGAACCCAAGGUCAAUCCCACGGCUAUAAUUUGUUUUGAAGUGGAAAAUUCCCCUGGCCCAAUUGUUGUAACAAUUUCAAAGAUUUCCUCUAGGGGGACACUGUAACAGUCAAAACUUGUUGCUUUUAAAAAAUAACUCUUUUAAGCCCCCAUUUCACCAAAUAGGCAACAAUUUCAAUUUCAGUUACUUCUCAGUCACUUUAAGAUCAGGAGGAGACAACCAGAAACAAUGUAUCUCCUUUGCAGAGCUAGCUGUCAAAAGUACUCUGUCACAGACAGCGUGUUUCACAAUACGGCAGUCUUAUUGUCCAUUGGCAGCCCGUUCCCAGGUUUUAAGCAGUGGAUUCUUACUUCCUUCCCUCUCUUUUGCAGGAAAAUAUAGUUCAAAACCUUUCCCCCCUCCUCUCCUGCAACCAAGGGGGGAAAUCACUUAUUUUGACGUUUGGAUUGUAGUCCUUCCCGAUCGGCUUUCCAGGUUUUUAGCUUACAGCUUCUUUGCUUUAGUCUAUUUACAAGAAAUGGAAGGCGGACUUCCUGUUUAUGCCUUCCCGCUUCGGUGCCAAAUUAAGCCUUUUUUCCCUUCCCUUUUUUCCCUCUCCAAUUUGUCCUACUCAUGGGUAGUUGCUUUUUGUAGUCGAAUUGACAUAGGAAGAAGACAGCGCUCUCUGGUAACGGCUGUGUGGCUUCGCUCCGCGGAAGAAGCAGCUGACUCACAGCACCGCGCCACUCACCCCGCUCGCUCUGGAGCCCGUAGUUGGGUCCCUUUGCGAGUGGAGGGGCGCGAAGGUGCCCGCCGGAGUCCCACGUUCACAGGCUUCACCCGCCUGUGAUUUUUAAAGGGCCCCCCCUUCGCCGUAGCGGUACAGACCCGAUUCCCACAGAGCCGGUCCCUCCAAGUCAGAGGGAGUCCGCCAUUACCGAUGGCACCACCCCGGAAGUCGAAACUUCUACCAGUGUUUGAACCACCGCUUUCCCCGUUGCAGUGUUGCUCCCUUCUUGCUGCCUUGCCAGGGCCACUGCUGUUGUGCAACCUGCCUUCAGCUUUGUUUCUCUACCCCACUCUGGUCUUCAUGAGAAGCCAGGAUUCCUAUGUGGCAUUACAAAUCUUCCAUAGGGGCUGAACAAUGGCAUAUGUGUGUGUGCGUAUGUGUGUUUGGGGGCAGUUGAGUUUAAUCCUUAGAAAAUGUAUAAGAGCAUUGUAGUUUCUAAUCAAAACUGACUGAGAAUAAAAUAUUGUGUACCUUCUCGCGUGCAUAUUGGCAUAUUCUUCAGUUUAUACACAACUAAUAUGAUUUUGGAUUUAUUAAUGCUUUCCCUUUGAAAUCUUAAGAUCUAUGGUUCAGAGCAAUAAAUGUUUAAGCACUACUAUUGUGCAUCUUAAGUUAUGAUAUUUAUUUAUUUACUAUUCCUCCAAUACUGCAAAGUUAUAUAAAGUGUGUGUGUGUGUGUGUGUGUGUGUGUGUGUGUGUAUCAAUCAAUCAAUCUUUAUUAUGGUCCAGAGACCAUAUUAUUGGUCCAGAGACCAAUCAUUACAAAUCUAUCUAUCUAUCUAUAUAUAUAUAUAUAUAUGUGUUGUGCACAAGAUCUCAUUUAAAACCAGUGCAACAUAACAAAUACAACUGAAGUAUAAUACAUAAAAAGAAACAAAAAUGCAUAAUGUGUUACCUGACAAGAAGGUUAUUAAAACAUUGCGGGGGGGGAGUUGUUAGAAAAAUAAUAUGCAUAUUAAUAAACAUUUAUUAAUGUUAUGUACUGAGUUGAAUAGGAUCCAAAAUGCAGCACUCUGAAUGGUCCUAGAACAAUAGGAUUCAGAUCCAGAUAUUAUACAAGUGAUCAAUCUUUAUUAAUUGCAAAGUUUUCCAACAUCUGGUAGUUUUCCAACUACCGUGCUAGCUGCUGUUAGUAAAUUUGUUAUUAAAUCCUAACUUACAAAGCAGGCAAGAUUCUUUCCUAAUAUUCCUUCCAAUUAGAUGUAAUCUAAAAAAUGUUUGAAAAAUUGAUGGUUGAUGAAGAGCUAUAUAUCUGCCUUAAUUAACUCUUUCUUCAGUUCAAGGACAAAGAGCUACCAGCGUAUCUUGUCCUUGGCAUUUGCUGUCAAGGAGAUAAACGAAAACCCUGAACUUCUACCAAAUGUCAGCCUCGGCUUCCACAUUUAUGACAGUUAUACAAAUGCAAGGAUGACUCAUCAGAACACGCUGAAACUUCUUUCCAGUCAUAAAACUGUAAUCCCCAACUUCAAAUGCAAUAAGCAGAAGAAUCUGAUGGCCGUCAUUGGAGGACUCGACUCUGAAAUCUCCCUUUACAUGGCUACUCUUUUAGGCAUCUUCAAGAUUCCACAGGUAAAAUAUUUGGAUUGGCUGUGCAGCUUUCCCACAUGGAAACCCAGCCAGAUGGGUGGGAUAUAAUUAAUAACUACUACUAUUAUUAUUAUUAUUAUUAUUAUUAUUAUUGGAUAAUAUUUACCUUUCUACUGUUGGCCUUUUCAGUUUCUCUUUUGUUCUUUUUGGAAAGAAAGUGUCAGCAAACAAUGAAUGUGUGGUUAACACAACUGUGUAAUUGGCCCCCUAUUCAUGCAAGAGGAAAAGCGAACAAUUAAUCCCAUUCUUUAUGGGAAGGCACAAGUGGUAACCCUCCCUCCUCCCCAAAACAACUACAAAUGGAAUUGCCACCACUCAAGGGUAUGUCUUGCAGCUGGGCCAGAGCAUCUCCCACUGGCAAUUGUGACACCUCAUUUCAGUGUCUCUGGCAUAGAAUGGGUAGUCAAAGAUAGAAUAAGAAACCUAGCAACUGUCGAAAUGUUCUAAUUAAUGAAGUGUGGCUUCGUCUUUUCAAUAAAAUAUACAAUAAAAUACUAGCAACCAAAGAAAUGGGAUCCUCAUGACAGAGGGUCCUGGUUGCGUGCGGGACCCAAGAGCUCACCUGAUAGGGUUAAAAUAGGGGGGGAGUAAGAGGUCCUGGCCAUCCCCCUGGGAUCACACCAGGUGAUUUUAGCUGACAGCCAGUGAGUGGCGUGAUCCCAGGGGCUUUAAAAACGGCAGUGUGACGCAAGGAAGGGCACUUACUUCGCAUUGUUGAACACCUGCCCACCCUCCCUAGUUUAGGUAGAGUCGCUUGGCCUUGCUUUGGUUUGGGUCGCCUGUUUUGGAACAGGGGCUGGGUAGGAAUUUUUCCAUUUGGCAGAUUGGCUUUAGCCAUUUGGUUUUCGCCUACCCCUUGGCAAAUCGUCACAACUUGUAAGGUGGCGGUUAGACAUUGGCUCAGUUGGAUUGUGGGGAGGGGAGGUGCGGCCAUCACCUGCCCCUCCAGGAACUGUGUAUUCCGUUAAAGGAAUCAGGGGGUCCUGUAUCUCGUCCAAAGUCUGCUUGAGGGGCUAGGGCCAUGCCAGGACCACAGGAACCCCGGGGUGAGCUUACGUUGGUCCUCAUCGACAUAGCUCCUUCGUUUGGUUUACCCCAUUGGAUGAUCACCCUGAGAGGUGGAGUCAGUUAUAGUGGGGAGUCAAUGCCUGAGCCAAUACCGCUCAUGUGAUUGUAUUUCAAUAAAGUUGUGGCCAAAAUUUUGCCCAAAACUUAAACUAAUAUAAGUGUCCGUGUGUAUUUAUUUUGGGGGUGGGUCUUGGGGUCUCGAAACACAAAUGGUACAAGCGGUAAAUUACAACUUGGUCAUGAAAAAAACCAUAAAUGCCUUACUCCAUGUGUGCCUACUCGACUGCUUUGAACGACAGAAUUAACACUACUACAAGUGCCACAUAAUACCCAUGCUGCAUUUGUAAGAACUUAACUAUUUAGUGUGACAACACCUACACAUAGGGACCACCUGUAUAUUCUUUUUGGCACCUGUUAAAACUGUGGAACGCAGUGGAAAACAGGAAUGCCUGGUGUGCUCUGGUCCUUGGGGUCUCAAAGAGUCGCACACGACUAAACGACUAAACAACAACAGCAAAAACAUUCUUGUUUAGGCAAGCCUACCUAGAUGCUUAGAAAGUUGAGGAAAUUUUAAUGUGUUCUAGUAUUUUAACUUUUACAUAUUUUAAAGUAGGCUUAUAAAUGGUCGUUUGAGAUUUUUUUUAAAAAAAAACCAAGCAACGUAUAAAUUUUGUGAAAUAAAUAAAAAAAAGGUGCCAAAGUGUAGCCAACCAAAAUUGGGCAGGGAUUGUUUAUAAAGUGCAUACAACAUUCCUAUGCAAUGUGGAAAUGCACAAUUAGAACAUGUAAAUUGGAACAGGCAUAACACACUAGACAAAUGGUUCCCUCCACACUCAAAAGUUCGAUCUACCCCCUCUACCCCUUAGCCCACUUUCAUUCCCUAGAUUCCCACAAAAGCAUUCAGUCAUUGGAGAACACUGAAAGGAAGGAGCAUCUUUCAUGUUCUCUGAAGAGGGGACCUUUAGGUUUAUAGCAUUUGGUGGGUACACCAUUGCUGGACAGCAACACUUCCAAGAAUGCCUUGACAGGAGUGCAACAUAAUAUGAGGUGAUGUUUCUCUCAAGUCAUUCCAGGAUAUGUGGGCAGGGGAAAGCUGAGUAACAAAGCUUGAACUUUUUAAAAGUUAACAACAACAACAAAAAGUAGAAAGUGGAAACAAUUUGGCCACUUUGUAAGGGUUGUAAAGACUGUGGAGAGAAUAAUUGGGUGCACUCUCCCUACCUUGGAUCAAAUCUAUGCUUCCAGGUGUCAUAAGAAAGCUGCAGAGAUAGUGCAGGAUAGUGCGCACCCUGGAAAUGAUCUCUUACAGCUUUUGCCUUCUGGAAGAAGGUACAGGGUUAUAAAGACUAGGAUUAGCCACCUGAGAAACAGUUUCUAUUCAAAUGCGAUUUUGUUUUUAAAUGCAGUGUAAGGUAGUCUCUAUGGGAGUACAUUGUAUUUAAUUAUGGGGUAUCAGAGUUUUAGGGGGCUAAAANNNNNNNNNNNNNNNNNNNNNNNNNNNNNNNNNNNNNNNNNNNNNNNNNNNNNNNNNNNNNNNNNNNNNNNNNNNNNNNNNNNNNNNNNNNNNNNNNNNNNNNNNNNNNNNNNNNNNNNNNNNNNNNNNNNNNNNNNNNNNNNNNNNNNNNNNNNNNNNNNNNNNNNNNNNNNNNNNNNNNNNNNNNNNNNNNNNNNNNNUUUUCGUUCUAUAGGACACACAUUUCCCCUCCAAAAUUAGGGGAAAUGUGUGUGCGUCUAUAGAGCGAAUGCAGGCUGCGCCGCUAAGCCCAAAGCCAGAACAGGAAGACGGAGCACUGCGGAGCGCUCCGUCUCGCUGCUCUAGCUUGGGGACGGCUGCGCGCAAACCUCUGUAGGGCAGCGGGGCGCUGCGCUCCAAAGGCUUCAGGGAUCUUUGAGACUGGCGGUGGGGAAAAGCAGCGCUUCCCCCCACCGCCAGCCCCACAAUCUCUGGUGAAUGUAGCUUGAACGCACCUUGUUUUAUAGGGGGAGAACAAGAAAAAAAAUUUUUUCCCUGUUCUCCCCCUCCUAUGAUCCGGUGCGUCCUAUGGUCUGGUGCGUCCAAUGGAGCGAAAAAUACGGUAAUUGCCAUUAGUUAUGAAUCUGACUCAAUUCAUUAGCCAUUGUCUGUUGCAAACUAUUGUCUGUAAUUUGUGCAAAAUGCUAAGUCAGCAUUUUUGAAGAUGUUCUACGAGGCCCUAGAGGGUGACCCGGGGAUCCCCCUGACACCACCCGCCACACCUCGGGGCCACAAGGCCUGGUGGGGGGAGGGGUUGGCCGCGUUCAGCAAUGCUCCCCCCCCACGGCCCACACGCCCCCGCAGGCACGGGGGGGCCUGCCAGAGGGCCCCCGUGCCACCACCUAACACCCCGGGGCAGCCAGGCUUGCCAGAGAAAGGGGGUCCCCUUUUAAAUGGAGUAUUCUGUGAUCUAUUACCCCCCCCGCCAUCGUUUGAGAGCCCUGUCGCGGGGGGGAGGAGGCCAAAGGCCCCAGGCCUACCUUUGGAGCGAGGAAGUCCAGCGACGUCCUUCCCGAAGAAGCUCUGGAGCCGAGUGAGGAUUCCCAGGUAAGAUCCUCCCUCUAUUGUGUGGGCAGGUAGUCCCUCUCUUACCUGGCCUGGUCUCCUUGGCAACGCUUCUCCCAGGCGGGAUUGGACAACUGACUCCAGGUAGGCGGAGACCUCCAGGUGUACCACCUGAGGGAAGGCGAAGCCAAGCCUAUGCUGAUGGAGCCGCCCCAGCUCCAGGGGCUGCGCACGUCCACGCAAAGGGCGCCCCCCGUUUUUAUGCGGGGAGCGGUCAUUUUUGAAGAAGUUCUCCUCUAGGCUAUAUAGCAGGAGGUGGAAAAGUGAUGAAGCAUUAAAAGGCCAAUAAGAGCAAUAUCCAGAAGUUUACUGGAUAAUAUGUUAAUAUAAUACAGCAACAAGUCAUUUCCUCCCAUUUGAAAAAAUCCAGUACUAGGUAUAUUGAAGUGUUAGUUUCAUAAACAUAAAGUAAGAACUGUUGUUGGGGGCAUUAACAGUGAUGCUAAGUUGUAUUUGUGUUUAGAAGAAAUAUGGGGGGAAAGUUGAUGUACACGCAUGCUUACGUUUUGUGUUUCUUCAUGUAUGAUAAUACUGUAUUUCCAAGGACAAAUUCACAUAGUUAUUACCAUAAAUAACAAAUUCCCCAGAUCUACCAUGAAUUUUCUGUUAUAAUCUCAAGUUGCAAUAAAAAUUCUGAAUUAAAUUAACGUUAUUGUUAUCAUCACCAUCAUCAUCAUUUCCCACACACAAUUCUAUCUUUCCACCUGUGAUUUAAUUUUAUUGCCACCAUAUUGUUCCUUUCCCCAUUGAAUGAAAGGGUAUGAUAUAUUUUUAUCUGAGGGUCAGGUUCCCUUUAGUAUAAACUCCUUGAUGUAGAUUUUCAGAUGCACAUACUGCUUUGGUGGAAGAAACAGAAGUCUUCAUCCUCUGGUUCGAGUAAAGUCUAUCCAAGGCUAUGUUUAUUUAGACAUGGCAAUUGCAUUGCAGAAGACCCACACCCCAUCAACCAGAAUCUCUUUUAAGCUUAUCAAUGGGAUGUUCUGCCUACAUACGGAGCUAACAGCUACUUAAAGGGUGAUAUCUUUUCACAACCAGCUUAAUAAGAAACCACAAUAAGCUAACUUCAGAGGGAAAACACAAGAAAAACAGCAUUGCUGAAAUCAAAACCGCCAACAUUCUGUACUUCCCUAGUUCUUUUACCUUCUCUGACACCUUCAUGCUAACUUUCUUUUACAUCUAAGAGAAACAUGCCCUUAAAAUAUAAGUCAUAAUUACCUUUGAGUAACUUGUACAAAUUUAAUUCUUAGGAAGGCAUGAAGAACAGUAUGAUAUAAUGCUAUAAUCUGAGGAAAGUGUAUAAAAGCCUAGUAUGUCCUAAUCAAAACAGCUUCCUACCAUCAAAAACAAUUUGCCUUAUACUUGCUUGCUAUUCAGCUUGAAUAUCACUGAUCAAACUUUGGACUUAUGAAUGCUUUGCUACUCAACUGUUAAGAUCUAAACUUUGUAACAAAACAUGCUUAAGCACUAUUUCUUGUUCUAGGCUAAUAUUUACUUUUGAUAUUUAUGUCUUAUUUAUUUAUCAAUCAAAGUGAACCAAGAAUUCAAAGAUUUCCCUACUCAUAACUAACAUUGAAGAAGUGGUAAUCAGUUACAGGCAAUGAGCCUAGGACUCCCUAGAUGUAUAUAGUCUUUCUUCUAGGUAUGACACUUUAUAUUUGCUUGUUAUUUUGGUUUGACUUGGUUUGGCAUGUUGUUGUUUCUCAUUUCUGCUUAUCAUGCUGAUUCUAUAUUCCACAUGUCGCUUUGUCACAUCAUAGAAUCAUAGUAUUUUAGAGCUGGAAGGGACCACGUGGAACCCCUGCAAUGUAGGAAUCCUUUGCCCAACAUGAGGCUCAAACCCCUGACCCUGAGAUAAAGAGUCUCAUGCUCUACCUGACUGAGCUAUCCUAUUAUUUCAGGUAAUUUAUCACUGACCUGUUCUCCCUCUUCUAAGUCUUUCCAUACUUUCCAAUCCAGCUGUAUUAUUAUUUUUUGUAUCUUCUCUUCGAGUUCAUUUCUUUCUAUUUCUUUCUGUACUGCAUAAUGCUCAUAUCCAUUCAAUUAUAUGGGCCACAUUUUAAAUGACAUUUAUUUUUUUAUAUUGAUUGAUUUAAAAAUGUUCUUUAAUAGUAAUUUCAGCUGUAUCUCUGAUUUUGCUGUUCAAAGAGAUCCAUUGCUAUUGGAGUGUGACUUCAGAGGUGGAUUUAGGUUAGUACUACUGGAUCCACCACAAUGGGCACCAAGCUUAGGGGCAAUGGAAUGCAUCACAACUAGGAAUAGUGUAUUGGUGACUGGCUGAUAGAUUUUACAGAAAGUUGGGUUCAAUGUGGCUUUCUUGAGCAGCACAUUCACAGUUACCACAGUCUGUCCCACUGUCAAACAUCUCUUACCAUCAGAAAGUUCUUUGUAAUGCUUAGUUGCAAUCUCCUUUCUUUUAACUUGAAGCCAUUGAUUUUGUCCUACCCUCCAGAGUAGGAGAAAAGAAGCUAGUUCCAUCUUCUGUGUGACAGCUCUUUAGAUAUUGAAGGAUGGCUAUCAUAUCUCCUCUCAGUCUCCUCUUAUCCAGAGCUUUCAACCAUCCUGCAUUUUUCAGCAAUUGGCUUGGAGAAGCCUUACUGCCUCCAACCUUGGAGGCUGUGUAUAGACAUGACGAGUGGCCAUUUUGAUCACCUAAUUCUCCAUGAAGUUGUUUAAUCCACUUUUAGAGCCAUUCAAGUUACUGGCUAUAACUGCCUUCUGUUGCUUGAAACCAUGCAGGGUGUGGGCUGGGCUGGGGCCUGCUCUUGUGCUUGAGUCCCACUUGUGAGUUUCCUUCAGGCAUCUGGUAGGCCACUGUGGGAACAGGAUGCUGGACUAGAAGGGCCAUUGGCCUGGCCCAGCAGGCUAAUUUUAUAUUAUCUUAUGAAUAUGGGCAGUUCUCUGAAUUAACUGUUGUGUAAAGAAGUCAAGGACACUUCAAGGAAUAAGAAGAAUGGUCCUCUUGUGGAUUACAAAUUGCUUAAGUUACAGCGAGCAAAUAGUAGGAAUAAACUGAGAGUUCACCAAAUGGACAGAUGUAAAAAAAUGGUGUCCCCCAAGGAUGAGUAUUGGGAUCUGUGCUUUUUAACAUAAAUUAUCCAGCUCUAGAUUAACGAUCUAGAACUUUGGAACAUACAACCUUAGGAGGCAGCAAUGAACACAAAUUUGGGUGCCUUUAAAAGAGUAAUCCAGAAACUCCAGUAAAACAUAAAUUAUGGUCAGUAUCCUAAAACUAUCCAGCUGUCAUAACAAUCAGAUAGGCUUGUCUAUUAAGUUAGAUUAAAAAUAAGAAUACUUUAUUCUAUUGUUCAGCCACAAGUAAUGUUUUGCACAAUGCAAUACACUGAGGAGACAUUUUUGAAAACUUUGAUUAUCACAAAUUAUUAGUUGUCCUCAUGCAUAUUGCCAAAUCCCAUGUGGAUUUUCUCUGAUCACAAUCACAAUAAUUAACAAACUCUGAAAGUAGAUAUUGAAUAUUCAGUGCUGGGAUGUUGGGUGGCAUAGAGGCAGGGUGACAGCUGUCAGACUGAUCUGUGUGCGAUUUUCUUCAUCAGAAAGGGUCCAGAGCCACUGAACAGGCUGGACGUUUAUUUUGGAUUGAUGCUGGGCAUUCUGCAUGAAUAUGUGGCUCAAGAUGACGGGGUUGUUUCUUUCGCCUCUGCUUCUCUUGUUUCCGCCACUCCCUCAGACUGACUGUGAGUCACAUGCUGUUAUGCAUACCAUGGUUGAUUCCCCCCACUUCCCACAUCAAUAUUAUCAGUCAGGGGACCUAACGAUUGGAUUUAUUGUUACUCAGUAUGGCUACUUAUCUGAUGAACUAUCAUUCAGGGUACAUCCCACAAACGCGUUUCUGGAAGAACUAAAACUUAUGUAAGGAGUAUGUUUUCUCUGCGUACUUCAGGCCAGGUCAUAACUAUUACUCCUUGAAAAAAGUGGUUUAAAAAUGUCCUUAAUGAAUUCUGGGUAUGUUGUACACAUAUAUCAAGAAGUAAGGCUUCGCACCUGCUUGAUCUACUCAACAAACCCCGGCUAUCUCCUCCAUGUUAACACACAGGGUUUCCCCUUCUCAUUUCCCCUUUCCAGUUGCAUUUCUGAAGCCACUUCUAUCUUCUGUAAUGUAGCCCUACUUUGCACUGAUUCUCACCUUCGUCGUCAAAACCAGGUUUGUGUGUGAGGGGAGGAGAAGCUGCUUUUCUCAGCUAAAGAAGUUUGAGUAAAUGGAGGUGAAGUGAGGCUGAGAAAAAAGUGGUAGUUUUAAAACAAAAUGUGGGGAGGGGGGACACUGAGGGAUUUUUAAUAAAUAAAUAAAUCAAACCAACCACUUUUAGCCAGGAGAAAUAGCAGAUAUGAGUAGAACACAGAAGCUAAGACUGAAAAGCUAAUGCAACAGAACUAUCCCAAGCUGCCUUUUCACUGCCCUCAUAUUUUGUUUUAAACUGCCACUCCAAUGUUGAACCCUGUUCAGUCUACUGAAACCUCUGCUUUCUUUUAAAAUCACCAGAUAAUUAUUCUUUGUUCCCUUCUCAUUGCACUCAGACUUCUCUGUCUUUCAUUCCUCAGCAGCUUCGUGUGUGAGAGAUAACUAAUGUGGACCUCCCAUAUAUUCCAUAGUACUCAAACCGAUUUCUUUGGCAAUUUUCCUCGCAGUUCGUCCCAACCCUGCUUUACUGAAACUUCUACCAGUGUUUGAACCACCGCUUUCCCCCUUGCAGUGUUGCUCCCUUCUUGCUGCCUUGCCAGGGCCACUGCUAUUGUGCAACCUGCCUUCAGCUUUGUUUCCCUACCCCACUCUGGUUUCAUGAGAAGCCAGGAUUCCUGUGUGGCAUUACAAAUCUUCCAUAGGGGCUGAACAAUGGCAUAUGUGUGUGUGCGUAUGUGUGUUUGGGGGCAGUUGAAUUUAAUCCUUACAAAAUGUAUAAGAGCAUUGUAGUUUCUAAUCAAAACUGACUGAGAAUACAAUCUUGUGUACCUUCUCGCGUGCAUAUUGGCAUAUUCUUCAGUUUAUAUACAACUAAUAUGAUUUUGGAUUUAUUAAUGCUUUCCCUUUGAAAUCUUAAGAUUUAUGGUUCAGAGCAAUAAAUGUUUAAGCACUACUAUUGUGCAUCUUAAGUCAUGAUAUUUAUUUAUUUAUUUAUUAUUCCUCCAAUACUGCAAAGUCAUAUAAAGUGUGUGUGUGUGUGUGUGCGUGUGUGUAUCAAUCAAUCAAUCAAUCUUUAUUAUGGUCCAGAGACCCAACAAAUCAUUACAAAUCUCUCUCUCUCUCUCUCUCUCUCUCUCUAUAUAUAUAUAUAUAUGUUGUGCACAAGAUCUCAUUUAAAACCAGUGCAACAUAACAAAUACAACUGAAGUAUAAUACAUAAAAGAAACAAAAAUGCAUAAUGUGUUACCUGACAAGAAGGUUAUUAAAACAUUGGGGGGGGGGAGUUGUUAGAAAAAUAAUAUGCAUAUCAAUAAACAUUUAUUAAUGUUAUGUACUGAGUUGAAUAGGAUCCAAAAUGCAGCAGUCUGAAUGGUCCUAGAACAAUAGGAUUCAGAGUGCAGCAGUCUGAUUGGUCCUAGAACAAUGCAGCAGUAUGAUUGGUCCGCAGGAGCCACCCAAUUCAGCUCCAGGUGGAAGUGAAUCCACAACCUGAUUGGCCUACAGUAGAAUCCCGGAAUUAGCCAAUCACGUGCAGCCCAUUGUGUAAACAAUGUAUAUAAAGCAGAUAUUGUGGGGGAACUUCCAUUCCUCCUCACCACUAUGAGCUGAAUAAAGAGCAUGAAAUCCACUCUCAACUCCGAGUAUAUUUCAAUUAAUAAAAAGGGAAAAUGGAGCCAUAGAUAUUAUACAAGUGAUCAAUCUUUAUUAAUUGCAAAGUUUUCCAACAUCUGGUAGUUUUCCAAAUACCGUGCUAGCUGCUGUUAGUAAAUUUGUUAUUAAAUCCUAACUUACAAAAGCAGGCAAGAUUCUUUCCUAAUAUUCCUUCCAAUUAGAUGUAAUCUAACAAAUGUUUGAAAAACUGAUGGUUGAUGAAGAGCUAUAUAUCUGCCUUAAUUAACACUUUCUUCAGUUCAAGAACAAAGAGCUACCAGCGUAUCUUGUCCUUGGCAUUUGCUGUCAAGGAGAUAAACGAGAACCCUGAACUUCUACCAAAUGUCAGCCUCGGCUUCCACAUUUAUGACAGUUAUACAAAUGCAAGGAUGACUCAUCAGAACACCCUGAAACUUCUUUCCAGUCAUAAAACUGUAGUCCCCAACUUCAAAUGCAAUAAGCAGAAGAAUCUGAUGGCUGUCAUUGGAGGACUCGACUCUGAAAUCUCCCUUUACAUGGCUACUCUUUUAGGCAUCUACAAGAUUCCACAGGUAAAAUAUUUGGAUUGGCUAUGCAACUUUCCCACAUGGAAACCCAGCCUGAUGGGUGGGAUAUAAAUAAUAACUAUUAUUAUUAUUAUUAUUAUUAUUAUUAUUAUUAUUAUUAUUAUCAUCAUCAUUGGAUAAUUCUACUUUCUACUGUUGGCCUUUUCAGUUUUACUUUUGUUCUUUUUGGAAAGAAAGUGUCAGUCUGCAAACAAUGAAUGUCUAGUUAACACAACCGUGUAAUUGGCCCCCUACGAUGGGCCAGUCGUGUCCGACUCUAGGGUUGUGCACCCAUCUCACUUAAGAGGCCGGGGGCCAGCGCUGUCCGGAGACACUUCCGGGUCACGUGGCCAGCAUGACGAAGCUGCUCUGGUGAGCCGGCACCAGCGCAGCACACGGAAACGCCGUUUACCUUCCCGCUAGAAAGUGGCAACUAUUUAUCUACUUGCACUUUAGGGGUGCUUUCGAACUGCUAGGUGGGCAGGAGCUGGGACUGCAGACGGGAGCUCACCCCACCGCGGAGAUUUGAACCGCUGACCAUGUGCCCUAGGCACUGAGGAUUUACCCACAGCGCCACCCGCAUCCCACUAUUGGCCUUUUCAGUUUCUCUUUUGUUCUUUUUGGAAAGAAAGUGUCAGUCAGCAAACAAUGAAUGUGUAGUUAACACAACUGUGUAAUUGGCCCCCUAUUCAUGCAAGAGGAAAAGUGAACCAUUAAUCCCAUUCUUUAUAGGAAGGCACAAGUGGUAACCUUCUCUCCCUCCCCAAAACAACUACAAAUGGAAUUGCCACCACUCAAGGGUAUGUUUUGCAGCUGGGCCAGAGCAUCUCCCACUGGCAAUUGUGACACCUCAUUCUAGUGUCUCUGGCAUAGAAUGGGUAGUCAAAGAUAGAAUAAGAAACCUAGCAACUGACUAAAUGAUCUAAUUAAUGAAGUCUUCCUUGUUCAUUUAAAUAAAAUAUACAAUAAAGUACUAGCAACCAAAUAAAUGGGAUCCUCAUAACAGAGGGUCCUGGUUGUGCGCGGGACCCGAGAGCUCACCUGAUAGGGUUAAAAUAGGGGGGGAGUAAGAGGUCCUGGCCAUCCCCCUGGGAUCACACCAGGCGAUUUUAGCCAAUAGCCAGUGAGUGGCGUGAUCCCAGAGGCUUUAAAAACGGCAGUGUGACGCAAGGAGGGGCACUUACUUCGCAUUGUUGAACACCUGCCCACCCUCCCUAGUUUAGGUAGAGUCGCUUGGCCUUGCUUUGGUUUGGGUCGCCUGUUUUGGAAUAGGGGUUGGGUAGGAAUUUUUCCAUUUGGCAGAUUGCCUUUCUGCAUUUUGUUUUCGCCUACCCCUUGGCAAAUCGUCACAACUUGUAAGGUGGAGGUUAGGCAUUGGCUCAGUUGGAUUGUGGGGAGGGGAGGUGCGGCCAUCACCUGCCCCUCCAGGAACUGUGUAUUCCGUUAAAGGAAUCGGGGGGUCCUGUAUCUCGUCCAAAGUCUGCUUGAGGAGCUAGGGCCAUGCCAGGACCACAGGAACCCCGGGGUGAGCUUAGGUUGGUCCUCAUCGACAUAGCUCCUUCGUUUGGUUUACCCCAUUGGAUGAUCACCCUGAGAGGUGGAGUCAGUUAUAGUGGGGAGUCAACGCCUGAACCAAUACCGCUCACAUGAUUGUAUUUCAAUAAAGUUGUGGCCAAAUUUUGCCCAAAAACUUAAACUAAUAUAAGUUUCCGUGUGUAUUUAUUUUGGGGGUGGGUCUUGGGGCCUCGAAACACAAAUGGUACAAGCGGUAAAUUACAACUUGGUCAUGAAAAAAACCAUAAAUGCCUUACUCCAUGUGUGCCUACUCGACUGCUUUGAACGACAGAAUUAACACUACUACAAGUGCCACAUAAUACCCAUGCUGCAUUUGUAGGAACCUAACUAUUUAGUGUGACAACACCUACACAUAGGGACACCCUGUCUAUUCUUUUUGGCACCUGUUAAAACUGUGGGAGGCAGUGGAAAACAGGAGUGCCAUGGGGUCUCAAAGAGUCGGACACGACUAAAUGACUAAACAACAACAGCAAAAACAUUCUUGUUUAGGCAAGCCUACCUAGAUGCUUAGAAAGUUGAGGAAAUUUUAAUGUGUUCUAGUAUUUUAACUUUUACAUAUUUUAAAGUAGGCUUGUAAAUGGUCAUUUGAGAUUUUUUUUUUUUAAAAAACUAAGCAGCGUAUAAAUUUUGUGAAAUAAAUAAAAAAAGGUGCCAACCAAAAUUGGGCAUUCCUAUGCAAUGUGGAAAUGCACAAUUAGAACAUGUAAAUGGGAACAGGCAUAACACACUAGACAAAUGGUUCCCUCCUCACUCAAAAGUUCGAUCUACCCCCUCUACCCCUUAGCCCACUUUCAUUCCCUAGAUUCCCACAAAAGCAUUCAGUCAUUGGAGAACACUGAAAGGAAAGAGCAUCCUUCAUGUUCUCUGAAGAGGGGACCUUUAGCUUUAAAGCAUUUGGUGGGAAGCUGUAUACCAUUGCUGAACAGCAACACUUCCAAGAAUGCCUUGACAGGACUGCAACAUGAUAUGAGGUGAUGUUUCUCUCAAGUCAUUCCAGCAUAUGUGGGCAGUGGAAAGCUGAGUAACAAAGCUUGAACUUUUUUAAAGUUAACAACAACAACAAAAAGUAGAAAGUGGAAACAAUUUGGCCACUUUGUAAGGGUUGUAAAGACUGUGGAGAGAAUAAUUGGGUGCACUCUCCCUACCUUGGAUGAAAUCUAUGCUUCCAGGUGCCAUAAGAAAGCUGCAGAGAUAAUGCAGGAUAGUGCGCACACUGGAAAUGAUCUCUUUCAGCUUUUGCCUUCUGGAAGAAGGUACAGGGUUAUAAAGACUAGGAUUAGCCACCUGAGAAACAGUUUCUAUUCAAGUGCAAUUUUGGUUUUAAACGCAGUGUAAGGUAGUCUCUAUGGGAGUACAUUGUAUUUAAUUAUGGGGUAUCAGAGUUUUUAGGGGGCUAACCAGGCUGGGAUAGCUUGGAUAGCAGGCUUGUUGGUUUUUGAAUGUCUGAUGUAGAUUUUUUCAAUUUUGUUGUUCGGUAUGGGACAAUGUCAAUAAAGAUUAUUGUAUCGUAUCGAAUGAUGGUCAGUGGCAAGUCCCUGCUAUAUAGUUUGAAGACAUUUGUUUUCUCCAUUAUGACUUUUCAGGAGUAUCUUAUGUCACCCCCCCCUCACCCAAUGAUCUCCUGAAAAAAAGACUUUCCUGACAUUUUACUGAAAUUUACAUAUUUUUUUUACUUAGAUUGCCUAUUGUGUAAUUGCUCCAGUGACUGAUGUUAAAACCCAUCUCCCUUCAUUCUACCGUAUGGUGCCCAAUGAAGAAUAUCAGUAUGAAGGGAUAGCUCAGCUUCUUUUGCAUUUUCAAUGGACGUGGGUUGGGAUCCUCACAAUGGACGAUGAUAAUGGAGACAAGUUUUUCCAGACCUUGAUUCCAUUGCUUUGGAACAUGGAAUCUGUAUAGCCCUCAAGGGGAAAAUUCCAGCACCUCUCAAGUGGCAGAUACACUUACUUCCUUUGAUUCCAUCUUGGACGAUGCUAUUUAUCUAUCGAAUGCCAGUGUUCAAGUGUUGGUUGUAAAUGCAGAAACUAUUACUAUCUCUUUUUUGCUAAUUAAAAUACAUGCAUAUGCAGCACUGGAGGAUAUCCUACCAUUAGCUGUAGGGAAAGUGUGGAUCAUGACAGCCCAAUGGGAUUUCUCAGCAGACACAACACAGACGGAUAUGGAUAUGCAAGUCUUUGAUGGUGCCUUCACUUUUGCAAUACACUUAAAUGAAGUGAGGGGGUUCAGAAAAUUCCUGCAGACUGUUCGUCCUAAAUCAAAAAAUGAAGAUGGGUUUAUUUUGCUCUUCUGGGAAGAGGCAUUCAACUGCUUAUAUUCUGAUUCUAUGGAUGGCAUGGAAAAUAAUAAUAAUGCCUGUAGUGGUGAAGAGAAUUUGGAGAGCCUCCCUGGGACACUCUUUGAGAUGAGUAUGACCGGCCAAAGCUACACCAUCUACAAUGCAGUUCAUGCCAUAGGACAUAGUUUACAUAAGAUGUACUCAGCCAGGCAGAAACACAGAGCCAUGCCAAACAGAG